AUGAGCCAGUUCAGAAGUAGUCUAGAGGUGAAUGCAGUGCUAAAAUCCCGACGGUGGUGCAUCAUAUUCAAAAACAUAAGUCUCAAAAACCAUUCACUUCCAAAAGCCAUACAUACACCUAAAACCAAUGCUAGUUCAUACAUAACAGGUUACAUAUACUGCACAAUGCAUCAGCUGGAAAAACAAACAUUGCAAAGCAUACAAACAAAUACAUGUCUUGCAUAUCCACUCAUCUGGACAUUACCACAAACACUUGGCAUGAAUAACUUAGCACUCAAGGCAACAUCUUAA